rnacentral:rRNA from 1 species
GACGAACGCUGGCGGCGUGCCUAAUACAUGCAAGUCGAACGCUUCUUUCCCCCCGAGUGCUUGCUCUCAAUUGGAACGCGUAGUUGCGGCCGGGGGAGUAACCCGCUGGUAACCUACUCAUCAGAGGGAGAUAACACUUGGAACCAGGUGCUAAUACCGCAUAACAGUUUAUGCCGCAUGGCAUAAGAGUGAAAGGCGUUUUCGGGCGUCGCUGUUGGUUGUUCCCGCGGUGCAUUGGAUCGGUGGUGAGGUAACGGCUCACCAGGGCCACGACGCACAGCCGACGUGAGAGGGUGGUAGGCCACACUGGAACUGGGACAGGGCCCAGGCGCCUAAGGGAGGGACCAGUAGGGAAUCGGCGGCAAUGGACGAGAGUCUGACCGAGCAACGCCGCGCGAGUGGAAGAGGUGUUGGGAUCGUAAAGCUCGGUUGUGGGAGAAGAACAAGGACGUGAGGAACUGAGCGUACAGUGACGGUACCUAAACAGAAAGCCACGGCUAACUACGUG